UUAAAAAUCUUUCAAAAAUUUUAGGUGGUUUUUAGAAUAAGAAGUCAUUGGUCAACAAGGAGAAAGACAACUUUUUCCUCCUCUUGACUCUGAAAAAGUGCUCUCCUGGUGUAACAAAAACAGGAAGACACUGCACUUGGCGAACUUGCCAAGAUGAGGACUUGAGCGCCAAUGAGACUCACGCUGGAAAGGUGGCAGCAUGAGGCAGGGGUUUGUGUGCUGUUCUUAGAUGUGUCCUCACCUCUAGGACGGAGCCUGAUAUGGAGCAGGUGCUCAAGCCAUAUUUGUUCAGUGAAUGAAUAAAUGUAUACUAACCAGAUAGGUUAGUAUGUAAAGGAAGAGAUCAGAGGAUGUAGAAUGAGAAAACCACCUCAUCGAAAAGGGUCUUUGGGUUGUCUUCUACCAGGAAGAGUUUUUAAAUAGGAGUAGCCAGCUACUAGACAGCACCUACUACACGGCAUCUUAGGUGCUCAACACCUAUUCUGUUGAGUAGAAAAUACUAUCACCACCACCAUUCUAGAAGUCUUUUCUUUUAUUGUCCCACCAAUGCGAAGAUACUUCAAAGGCAGAGAGGAGGAGGAAAUGGG
rnacentral:lncRNA from 1 species